GACGAACGCUGGCGGCGUGCUUAACACAUGCAAGUCGAACGGUAAGGCCCUGCUUUUGUGGGGUGCUCGAGUGGCGAACGGGUGAGUAACACGUGAGUAACCUGCCCUUGACUUUGGGAUAACUUCAGGAAACUGGGGCUAAUACCGGAUAGGAGCUCCUGCUGCAUGGUGGGGGUUGGAAAGUUUCGGCGGUUGGGGAUGGACUCGCGGCUUAUCAGCUUGUUGGUGGGGUAGUGGCUUACCAAGGCUUUGACGGGUAGCCGGCCUGAGAGGGUGACCGGCCCCAUUGGGACUGAGAUACGGCCCAGACUCCUACGGGAGGCAGCAGUGGGGAAUAUUGCACAAUGGGCGGAAGCCUGAUGCAGCAACGCCGCGUGCGGGAUGACGGCCUUCGGGUUGUAAACCGCUUUCGCCUGUGACGAAGCGUGAGUGACGGUAAUGGGUAAAGAAGCACCGGCUAACUACGU
rnacentral:rRNA from 1 species